rnacentral:sRNA from 1 species
UAUAUAGAGUUUUAUCCCGAUGAAAGUUAAAAAUUUUUUUUUGAUUUUCAUGGGGAUAAGACCCUAUCAUGGUUAUAGUGGCUUUCGGUGUAUCCAUCUUCCAAUAGAUUAACAUUUUGUUAAUCAUCUGUUUUAACACCGAACCAUUAUUUGUUUUCAUUCAUCUCAUUUGCCAUGUAGUCUCUGUCUAUGCCUCAUCCCGUUAUGCAUAGACACUCGAGCAUGAUGGCGACGCUGGACAUUUUGUCCAGCGUAUUUUUUUU